rfam:Rattus norvegicus chromosome 14, whole genome shotgun sequence.
GGGGAUUUAGCUCAGUGGUAGAGCGCUUGCUUACCAAGCACAAGGCCCUGGGUUCGGUCCCUAGCUCCA